GGCCCGUCACCUCCCCCCGUGCAAAAGGCCAGCCGGCCCAUUGUCCAUUUUUCCUAGGACCGCCUCCCCCACUCUUUGUGCUUCCGCCGGGCUGGUAGCUGUUCCGUGGUGCCGGGUCCGGGUGCAGCGCUGGCGGCGGGCAGGAUGGGCUGCGAGCGGCCGGGAGCUCUGGGGCUGGGGCUGCUGCUGCUGGCGCUGGCCGGGGCGCGGGCGCAGUACGAGCGCUACAGCUUCAAGAGCUUUCCCCGGGACGAGCUGAUGCCGCUGGAGUCCGCCUAUCGCUACGGCCUGGACCAGUACAGCAGCGAGAACUGGCCCGAGAGCGUCAGCUACCUGGAGGUGAGCAUGCGGCUGCACCGCCUGCUGCGGGACAGCGAGGCCUUCUGCCACCUCAACUGCAGCGCUGCCCGUCUGCCGCCGCGCGGCUCCCCGGCCCGCUUCGCCGGCUUCCCGGAGCUGCGCCUCUUCGCGGACGUGCUGCUGCGGGCGCAGUGCCUCAAGCGCUGCAAGCAGGGGCUGCCCGCCUUCCGCCAGUCCCAGCCCAGCCGCGAGGUGCUCGACGAGUUCCAGAGGCGAGAGCCCUACAAGUUCCUGCAGUACGCCUACUACAAGGCUAAUAACUUUCCAAAAGCCAUUGCAGCAGCUCAUACGUUUCUGCUGAAGCACCCAAAUGACGAGAUGAUGCAGAGGAAUAUGGCUUAUUACAAGAGCAUGCCUGAUGCCGAGGAGUAUAUUAAAGACUUGGAGACAAAGCCAUAUGAGACUCUCUUUGUCAGGGCUGUGAGAGCAUACAAUGGGGAUAACUGGAGAACCUCCAUCUCCGAUAUGGAGCUGGCACUUCCUGAUUUCUUCAAAGCCUAUGAUGACUGCCUUGCAGCCUGUGAAGGUUCCCGGGAGAUCAAAGAUUUUAAAGAUUUUUAUCUUUCAAUAGCAGAUCACUACAUUGAAGUCCUUGAAUGCAAACUGCAGUGUGAAAUCAACCUGACGCCGGUCAUAGGAGGCUUUGUUGUGGAGAAGUUUGUGGCAACCAUGUACCAUUACUUACAGUUUGCCUAUUAUAAAUUGAAUGACAUGAAGAAUGCAGCCCCUUGUGUUGCUAGCUACAUGCUCUUUGACCAGAAAGAUGAAGUGAUGAAACAGAACAUGGUCUAUUAUCAGUACCAUAAAGACAAAUGGGGACUCACAGAGAAGGAUUUCCAGCCCAGACCAGAAGCAGUUCGAUAUUAUAACAUAACCACACUUCAGACGGAAAUGUAUGAAUUUGCAAAGCGGCAUAUAAUGGAUGAUGAUGAGGGUGAAGUUGUGGAAUUCCUUGAUGAACUCCUUGAAGUGGAUGAAAACAGUGAAUCCUGAUGAACAAAAACAAGGCAUAGUUUAAAAAAAAAUAAAGACCCACUGUUGUGCCUUCAUAUCAUCAUUUAUAGCUCAGAGAAUUUAUGUAUGCUUAGUACAAGAGAUCAGGAGAGGCUGCUACCCUGGAGUUAUCUCCUAUCCCCUGGCUCUCAAAGAUAUGUAUGGAAGGACAGUUUCCAACCUCUCCUAUCAGAAACUUGACAUCCAAGGUUAAGUCAUCUGCCCAAAUGUCUUCUCAAUGAGAUUCUCAGCGUCUCUUUCAGAAAUCACGUGAGUGAUAUGGGGCUGUUCUGGGAAAGAUACUUCCAUGCAUGUUGUCUUGUUCUUGUUAAUUAUGUUUUCAAUUCUUCUGCCCCUGUUGUUGUGUCUUUUCGUAAACCUACAUUGUGAGGUCAGUGGAGCAUGGACGGUCUUCCUGUUACUUGUUUGUAUGGUGCCUGGCACAAUGAGCCUUAAUCUUUGAGUGGAGCCUGUAGGUGCUACUGUAAUACAAAAAUAAAUAAAUAAAGUGCCUUAAAGACCUCUUCA